rnacentral:rRNA from 1 species
GAUGAACGCUGGCGGCGUGCCUAAUACAUGCAAGUCGAGCGAACAGACGAGGAGCUUGCUCCUCUGAUGUUAGCGGCGGACGGGUGAGUAACACGUGGAUAACCUACCUAUAAGACUGGGAUAACUUCGGGAAACCGGAGCUAAUACCGGAUAACAUGUUGAACCGCAUGGUUCAACAGUGAAAGACGGUCUUGCUGUCACUUAUAGAUGGAUCCGCGCCGCAUUAGCUAGUUGGUAAGGUAACGGCUUACCAAGGCAACGAUGCGUAGCCGACCUGAGAGGGUGAUCGGCCACACUGGAACUGAGACACGGUCCAGACUCCUACGGGAGGCAGCAGUAGGGAAUCUUCCGCAAUGGGCGAAAGCCUGACGGAGCAACGCCGCGUGAGUGAAGAAGGUCUUCGGAUCGUAAAACUCUGUUAUUAGGGAAGAACAAAUGUGUAAGUAACUAUGCACGUCUUGACGGUACCUAAUUAGAAAGCCACGGCUAACUACGUG